UACGUAGGGGGCAAGCGUUGUCCGGAAUCAUUGGGCGUAAAGCGCGCGUAGGCGGCCCUGUAAGUCCGUUGUGAAAGUCAAAGGCUCAACCUUUGAAAGCCGAUGGAUACUGCAGGGCUAGAGUCCGGAAGAGGCGAGUGGAAUUCCUGGUGUAGCGGUGGAAUGCGCAGAUAUCAGGAGGACACCAAUAGCGAAGGCAGCUCGCUGGGACGGUACUGACGCUAAGGCGCGAAAGCGUGGG
rnacentral:rRNA from 1 species